AGCUCAAACAAUCCGCCCGCCUUGGCUUCCCAGAGAGCUAGGAUUACAGACAUGAGCCACCACACCCAGCCCAGAGAAUAAGUUUUUGAAAGACACAGUUAUCUAGUAAGACCAAAAGAACCAGGGACUCAGGGGCUGGGGUUACAGUGGAUGACAUGAAUCUGCAGGAGCCCCACUCCCUUGCAGUCCCUACUCCCUGGCUCCAUUGUGAGCACGCUGAAGGGUUGUGGGGCUUGGGAGGAAAGAGGUAGAUGUCUGGCCAAGAUCCUAAAUUAGCAGGACUCAGAAUUUUUGGAAAAUUAUUAUGACUUAAUAAAGGAAUUCAUACCUCAGGUGUGGAAUAAGAACAGUUGCUUUUCUGCCUUCUCUUUCUUGAACAGAGACUUCCAUUCUCAUUUCAGGCUUCCUAUUUGUCAGUUUGGGCCAGAUUCUGCCCACACACACCCUACCCUCUGCCCUCUCUGACCCGGUUUGACUACAGGCAAGUUCCUGUACCUUUUAGGGCUUCAGCUCCUCCAUCACAAAAGACAGAGUUGAACCAGACGACCUGUUUCCACGCUUAAGACUACAUGUCUUUCAGAUUGAUAAUGGGGACCCAGCAUGCCAGUGUCUUUUUCUGAUUCUUCGCAACCUUGUGUGGUUCCAAUGGUAGUCAGAACUGGGUUUAAACCUUACCCCACCCCACCUUACUAGCCACCUAACCACAGGGAAUCCUUGCUCCUCAGCAUCCUACCAGAUAAGUGGGAAUAACAAUUUCUCCCCUAUAGGCUUGGUCUAAAAUGCCUUGGAAUAUAGGAGCUGCUCUUAUUUUACCCUCCUUCCCCACUCUGACUCCUCUGCACCCUGCAAAAAAAGCAAAUAUCCAUUCAUCCUCAGCACUUUCCUAAAUUUUAAUUAUAACUGGGGAUAAUCCACCUAUACAAACUGAAUAAAAGUAAAAAUAAAGGCUGAUUUAAUAUCUGGCUUGGCUUUCAAAUAAAACCCAUAUUUAAAAGUUUCUCUUUCUUUUGACUUGACUGAUAAUAUACAAAUCACUCUCAAACUCCUGGUCUCAGUUUGUAAGUUUCUAGGGGCCAGGAAAUAUGUCAUCCAUGAAUUUCUAUGUAGCAAUAUUAACACAUCAUCUACCCAGAGGUUAGUAUUCAGAUGAUGACUCUAAGGGGGGUGGGUAAAUGUUUCUAAGAGAUAUUUUGCCUGGGAUCAGGAGCCUAGUGAACUCCAAGUCCAGCCUUUUAGAGAAGAGAAUACAAAAUUUGUGGAAAGUCUUGUGAGGUUUACAGAUCAAAAUACUAGUAACUCUUUCUUUACUUCUUAAAGCAGGGGUUGGAUCAGAUGACCUAAGGCUCUUUAGUUCUGUGAUUCUAAGAACUGAGAGACAGUUUCUUCCAGGCUAUAGCAUGUGUGCCUUUUCCAGUCCUGUGCUCAAUUUCUGCUUCCAAGAAACCAGCAAUGUGAACUCAUGAGAAGGUCGGAUCACCAGGAACUCUUUGGUGUGGAAGAUGGAAGGGAAGAAAAGACAAACUGCAAACCAUCGAUGACCAUACUGAGUAAUAAAAGCUACAAACAGAGGUACACACAAGGCACCUGAGAGUGGGUACACGAAUGAAGGACACCUGAUCUGGUUUUGGGGCCAGAAAGCUGCUUGGAGGAACACACCUAAAGGACAAAUAGGAGUUAUCUGGCAAAGGAAGGCGGCGAACCGGCUUCAGGAGCGGCAGUGGCGGCAAGAUGGCCACUCUCCGGGCCUUCACCUGUGACGACCUAUUCCACUUCAACAACAUUAACUUGGACCCACUGACAGAAACUUAUGGGAUUCCUUUUUACUUAUGGUACCUUGCCCACUGGCCGGAGUAUUUCAUUGUUGCAGAGGCACCUGGUGGAGAAUUGAUGGGUUAUAUUAUGGGUAAAGCAGAAGGCUCAGUAGCUAGAGAAGAAUGGCAUAGGCACAUCACGGCUCUGUCUGCUGCCCCAGAAUUUCAAUGCCUUGGUUUGGCUGCUAAAAUUAUGGAGUUAUUAGAGGAAAUUUCAGAAAGAAAGAGUGGAUUUUUUGUUGAUCUCUUUGUAAGAGUAUCUAACCAAGUUGCAGUCAACAUGUACAAGCAGUUGGGCUACAGUGUACAUAGGACAGUCAUAGAAUACUAUUCAGCCAGCAACAGGGAGCCCGAUGAGGAUGCUUAUGAUAUGAGGAAGGCACUUUCCAGGGACACAGAGAAGAAAUCCAUCAUACCAUUACCACAUCCUGUGAGGCCUGAAGACAUUGAAUAACCCUGGGCAGUGGUUCUGAGGCAGAUGCUCCAGAUAUUUUACGGACAAUAUUAUUUUCAUUGGGAGAAAAGUAAUAAUAAUUUAGGUCUUAAAGACUUCAAGAAAAUAUAGGUUAUCAGCUUACUUUAAAUCUCAUUGUUUCCGAUUAGCAAUAUCAUACCUAUAAAGCUGUUCACUGUAAUAAAAUUCAAUCGAAAAGGCAGCUAGGUCAGAAGUAAACAUUCCACUAUCGUGGUUCAUAAUAUUCACUGUAUAUUAGGGAAAAGACUUGCUCCAAUCUCCUAAAUUCUGUGCCUGAGAACAACUGCUGCAUAUAUAUAUAUAUAUAUAUUUUUAAUUUUGUAUUGAACUGUUAAUUGAAGCUUUAAAAGCAUAUAUG